GCAGCAGUGGGGAAUAUUGCGCAAUGGCCGAAAGGCUGACGCAGCGACGCCGCGUGGGGGAUGAAGCAUUUCGGUGUGUAAACCCCUGUGCUCGGGACGAACAACCUCUUUAGAGAGGUCUGACGGUACCGGGUGAGGAAGCACCGGGCUAACUCCGUGCCAGCAGCCGCGGUAAUACGGAGGGUGCGAGCGUUGUCCGGAAUCACUGGGCGUAAAGGGCGCGUAGGCGGUCUGCUAAGCGUGCGGUGAAAGCCUGGGGCUCAACCCCAGGUCUGCCGUGCGAACUGGUGGACUAGAGCACUGUAGAGGCAGGUGGAAUUCCGGGUGUAGCGGUGGAAUGCGUAGAGAUCCGGAAGAACACCGGUGGCGAAGGCGGCCUGCUGGGCAGUUGCUGACGCUGAGGCGCGACAGCGUGGGGAGCAAACAGGAUUAGAUACCCUGGUAGUCCACGCCGUAAACGAUGGGCACUAGGUGCUUGGGGGAGCGACCCCCCGAGUGCCGGCGCUAACGCAUUAAGUGCCCCGCCUGGGGAGUACGACCGCAAGGUUGAAACUCAAAGGAAUUGACGGGGGCCCGCACAAGCGGUGGAGCAUGUGGUUUAAUUCGACGCAACGCGAAGAACCUUACCUAGGCUUGACAUGCAUGGGAAAGCCUCUGGAAACAGAGGCCCCUCUUCGGAGCUCAUGCACAGGUGCUGCAUGGCUGUCGUCAGCUCGUGUCGUGAGAUGUUGGGUUAAGUCCCGCAACGAGCGCAACCCUUGCCCUUAGUUACCAGCGAGUAAAGUCGGGGACUCUAGGGGGACUGCCGGUGCCAGACCGGAGGAAGGUGGGGAUGACGUCAAGUCAUCAUGGUCCUUACGUCUAGGGCUACACACGUGCUACAAUGGCAGGUACAGAGGGCUGCGAAAGGGCAACCUGGAGCCAAUCCCCAAAGCCUGCCUCAGUUCGGAUUGUCGUCUGCAACCCGACGGCAUGAAGCUGGAAUCGCUAGUAAUCGUGGAUCAGCUACGCCGCGGUGAAUACGUUCCCGGG
rnacentral:rRNA from 1 species